rnacentral:rRNA from 1 species
UACGGAGGGGACUAGCGUUGUUCGGAAUUACUGGGCGUAAAGCGCACGUAGGCGGAUUUGUAAGUCAGGGGUGAAAUCCCGGGGCUCAACCUCGGAACUGCCUUUGAUACUGCAAAUCUCGAGUCCGGAAGAGGUGAGUGGAAUUCCUAGCGUAGAGGUGAAAUUCGUAGAUAUUAGGAAGAACACCAGUGGCGAAGGCGGCUCACUGGUCCGGUACUGACGCUGAGGUGCGAAAGCGUGGGGAGCAAACAGG